AGGUCAUUCCAAUCAGUCAUCUCCAAGCCAUUACCAAAGCAAGUCAAGAGAAAAAACUUCCCCUGGAUGGAAUUAUGAAGGUGACGGGAAUAGUGCCAAGGAAUCAGUCCCUAGGCAUUCAAGGAGCAAAUUGAGAGACAAGACUUCCCAAGGAUCCCGAUGGCCUAGUCCAAUCAAGAGAAGUGAUUCCAAGCACUCACCUAGGAAGCGUGACCGGAGCAAUUCAAGAGACAGA